rnacentral:rRNA from 1 species
AGCGGGGGAUAACUACGCGAAAGCGUAGCUAAUACCGCAUACGCCCUACGGGGGAAAGCAGGGGAUCGCAAGACCUUGCACUAUUGGAGCGGCCGAUAUCGGAUUAGCUAGUUGGUGGGGUAACGGCUCACCAAGGCAACGAUCCGUAGCUGGUUUGAGAGGACGACCAGCCACACUGGGACUGAGACACGGCCCAGACUCCUACGGGAGGCAGCAGUGGGGAAUUUUGGACAAUGGGGGAAACCCUGAUCCAGCCAUCCCGCGUGUGCGAUGAA